CUACGGAGGAUGCGAGCGUUAUCCGGAUUUAUUGGGUUUAAAGGGAGCGUAGGCGGUAGCUUAAGUCAGCGGUUAAAUGGUGCGGCUCAACCGUGCCCUGCCGUUGAAACUGGGUUUCUUGAGAGUGCAAGCGGCGGAUGGGAUUCAUGGUGUAGCGGGGAAAAGCUUAGAUAUCAUGAAGGACUCCGGUUGCGAAGGCAGUCCGCUGGGGCACGUCUGACGCUGAUGCUCGAAGGUGCGGGAAUCAAACAGGAUUAGAUCCCCUGGUAGUCCGCACGGUAAACGAUGAUUACCCGCUGUCGGCGGCAGACAGUCGGCGGCCAAGCGAAAGCGAUAAGUAAUCCACCUGGGGAGUACGCCGGCAACGGUGAAACUCAAAGGAAUUGACGGGG
rnacentral:rRNA from 1 species